rnacentral:lncRNA from 13 species
UACUGAUUGGCAGUGUUCCUUUUAGUAUAAAAUGAAGAGAAAAAGAUGUAGCAUAAAUUUAGGUAUCUUGCUAAAAAUGAAUUGAGAAAUAUUUAAUCAUAUUUUAUUCAAUAUGGGUACAAUAUCUGAACUGGGUUCAGAUUUAUGCUGUUGUUAUAAAUCAACAGUAUAGUUCUUAAAAACCAAAUUUUUGAUUGAUUGGACUACAGUGGUACAUAAUAUUGAGUUAUUGAUAAGAAAUUCAAACCCAUUUUUGAGAGAAUAUUUUGCAGAAAUCAUUCUGACAGCUGAUUGAGGAGACUUUGUCCGGUAAACUGUAACCUCUAUUUCUGCACUCCCAGGAGGCAAUAGUCCCUAGAGUCAGGGAAUAAAAGGUCAAAGUCUAGCUCUGCCACUCCCUAGGGCACAACCAGGGAUCAUCUCAGCUUCUUCAUCUGAGACCUGAGGAAGAGAAUCGUAUCUCCCUCAGAGGAUCGUCGAGAGACAUUUUGCAUAGUGGCUGGCACAGAAUUGAAGAAAAUGUUCACAGAAGGAAGUGAGAUGAUUAAUUGAUUCCGAGGGCCUGUAGCAACUCUGUUUAACAUGCUAGAUGAGCCAGUCUUAUUCAAUGAUGUCUAAGGAUCUAGAGAAAACGGGUCUCAGGAUGGUCUUCUUCCCACCUCCUUUCAGUUGGCCUGCAGUGAACAGGAUAUGUCACUGUAUGCUGGUCACUGGAAGAUAGAUUAAGGAGGAGUCAGAAGAGGGAGAACCAAACACAUCGCAGCAUGAAAAGAACUUGGCCUGGAGUUGUUGGCUUUGAAGAUGAAGAAAUGAGUCCAUGAGCCAAGGAAUGCAGGGUAGUUCAACAAAGGCCCUCUGGGAGCAGUUUCUUACUCUUCAUCCCAUUUGAGAUACAUCCUCACCUUCUCUCUCAUCCCUUUUACAUUUGGAAAAGAACCUGGAAAAUUGAUCAUUUGACACCUUGGAGAUUUUACCUGGAGGAAAAUAAUUUCUUGAAGCCUCUUGUGCCUGUGAGAGCCAAAUGCUAUUUUGCAGCUGUAAUGUUGAUAAUGUAUACACAUUCUCCCCAGAGCAAUGGAUUCUUUAACCUUAAUAUUGAGACUGGAAUGAGAUUCUGUCCUCUAGAGGUCACCAAUGCACCAGAUUUGAAGGCCAUGGAGGCUUCCAAAAUGCUCAGGAAGCAUCAUGUGUCCUGUUCACGUUUGAAUGAGAGAGAAAAUAAGGCAAGUAAAUUAUCCUAAUGGUUACUUUCCAGCUAGUCUCUGAAGAAGUGGGAAAUCUGGUUUUAAAUAAGGCGUUUUAAAAUGGAUUUAUCUUGGCUUUUCUCUGCACUGAUCUAGCUGGAGGAAACUUCCAUAUGGUUAAUACUUCUUAACAGAUAGCUUACUUUUGAUGGUGAGAGAAGAAACUUUUCUAAAUAGGAGAAAAACUGAUGUAGAAACAGGUGAUUUUAGCCUCCAUUAAAUGAGUGUUACUUUCGCUGGUGCUCUGAC